rnacentral:rRNA from 1 species
AUUAAUAAGCGGAGGAAAAGAAACCAACAGGGAUUCCCCUAGUAAGGGCGACUGAAGGGGAAGAGCCCAGCGCAUAACCUCGCGGUCCCAAGCCGGCCGUCGAGGGGUGUUGCGUUUCGGUGCAUCCGCACCGCUGUCACUGCUCACCGUCUAAGUCAUUGCUUAAAUGCAGCCCCAGGGCGGGUGAAAGGCCCGUGUGGCGGCGCCCGUAAGAAGGGUGUAGGCAGUCGGCGGCGGGUGGGUGUUCACCGUAGAGUCGGGUUGCUUAGUAUUGCAGCCCUAAGCAGGUGGUAAACUCCAUCUAAGGCUAAAUAUGACCACGAGUCCGAUAGCAGACAAGUACCGUGAGGGAAAGCUGAAAAGGACUCUGAAGAGAGAGUUAAGAAGGACGUGAAACCGUUGGAAGUCUAAACGGGUGGAACCAAGAUGAACGAAAGAGGGGAUUCAGCCCGUGGGCCGCCGGCGUGCGGUGUGGCGGUACAGAGGGGCAAUUACGAUGUAGAGACCCGGCGUAAAUUGUGGCUUGCCGUGGCUCCGUCCCUGCCGCCGAGCGGUUCUGCCGCGGGCUUAAUUCGCCCUCCAGUAGUUGGGUCGCUGUGACUCGUGGUGGGGACCCCGAGACCCGUGUCGGAUUGGUAGCCAGGAGCUCUGCUCCCUGGUGAUGACCGGCUGCGACGUCGACCGGGCCCCCGUGCCGCGAUCACUACGAGGAGAGGCUCGCAAGAGUCCUCUCUCAUCGGCGAUCCCAAAAGAUCGGUCAUCCACCUGA